GUUCGUGCUUCAAUUGUUACUUGGGCUGGCAUCCAUACUGGUCGUGGAUUGUUAAAUCCUUUAGCUGUCAGUGACCAUAGCUGCAACAAUGAAACGACAAGUGUAAAACAAAAGUGCAUAUACAUUUGUUUUCACAAAUGAAUACCCGUUUUAACCACGUUUGUACCAGUUGUUCCUCCUCGUCCUCGUUCUCCUCAUCAGCAUUUUCGCUAAGCAUCUUGAUUACUCGCAAAGCAGUGGAUUCUUCCACACCGAACGCAGCAAACCAGAAAAUGUCAAAGAAGACGAAAUCGCCGGUUGCACCAAAAGUUCUAUCCAAUAAUUGAGCCGGUCGAUGAGUUUGAAACGCACGCUGCCACAUCACGGCCCGAUCGUUAUCGGAUACAGUUAUAUUCUCCCAUCCGCACAAAUCCUUCUCAAAGCUGCAAUCUUCCGCGCGAACGGCUGCACUCAAUGGUUUUACUGCAUAGAAAAAAAAAUAGACACGAAAAAGAAGAUAAAAAUAUUUACCGCUGCAAUUGCCCGUAUAAAAGGAGAUAUCAUCAAUUCCUAUACUACCACUUGCUCUAUUCGGACCCCAUGUUCCUUCGAACACGAUGUUGAAGUUCGUAUUUUCAUUGAUGUUAGCCUGAGCAUAGCUCCACGUGGGACCUUGAUUGUUGUACAGCUGCCAUAUCGGUUUGGCUUCUGUCGAAAUAUCGCCCACUGUUUGUAGAUACAAUCGCAAGACACCUAUAAAGUUACGAUUAUAUUAUUUUUUUUGUUUUCGCGGAAGAAAAAUCACAUACCUAUAAAAGCUAGGACCUGUGGAAUCGAUGAAUGGCUCAAACAUAAAAUACCAGAACGUAAUGCAGAGCGGUUCCUCGGUACCCUUCAUCUCUCGACUGACCAAUUGAGCGGUACCACCCCCAGACGAUCGCGAAGCACCCCGAAGACGUCCCAG